AAGAAGAGGUUCCCAGCGGAAACAGUAGCAUGUGUGGACUUGAGCUGUGUGGUCCAGAAGAUAAGUAUCCUUGGAGCAAACAGCGGCAAAGGGAAAACUGAGAUGGAAAGAUGGAGAGAUUUAGGCCUGAAAUAUGAACUUACAGCAAUCAGCAUAAGAAUGGUAAUUGGAAUUAUGGGGAGAUUAAAUUACCUAGCCAAAGUGUGUUGAGUGGGGAGAGAAACUGUUCAGCCACGGAACCUGAAAAUCACUGUCCCUGGAGGAGCUGAGAGAGCACAGUUAGCAGGUGGGAAGUGCGGGGAGGGACAGGAGUGGCAGGCAGAACACCCACCGGGAGGACACUCUAAAGGAAGGGAUCGUCACUGUCUAAGGCUGUGGAUGCAGACCAUGCUGAUAGAGAGAAGGAUAGACAUCCUCCACAGGCGAGUGUGCAGGUGUAAAAGGAAAGAAGCUAAUGAACUUCCCGACAGAAAGUGUCUACUUUUCAGCAAAGCAGGGGUACAACUUUCUGCGGGACAUGAAGGCCCAUGCAUGGAGUGAGAGGAUGGACACAGCCACAUUCAGGAGUGGCAGCAUGAGUUCACCACCACACCCAGAAGCAGGACACUCAUUUCUGGGUAGAAAUCUUUAACUUUCAGUGAAUCCAACACAUGCAGUUGUAUUAUCUGAUCUAUCUCCAGCAGGAGACAGAGGAGCAGAGCUCGUGCACAGUUGGCUUGAUUUUGAAUGAGACUGACAAUGCAGCUGAAACAGGAUGGUGGCCAGGGCACAGUGAGGCAGGUAGAAAGCCUGUGGGAGCAAAAUAUAAGGAGGUGCUCACCUUCAGUGUCAUGCAAGUGACUCAGAUAAAUGUCGUGAAGAUGAAGGAGGAAGACAGAGGGAAAGACAAAUGACCAAAAGGAAAGGGGUGUUAGGCGAUGGCCUGGGCUCUAACCCUGCCUAGGGGAGGCUGAUGUGCAUUAAAGGUGAAAAUGUUUGAGAUGAAGAGACUGAGUCUGUUGCCCUUGCACAACCUGAAGUCACUUGAGUCGACGGCAGGAACCAGGAAGAGGAAGGCUGUGAGCUUGGUCCCGACAUCCUCAGUGGAUAAGAACAAGCUCUAGGAAGUCUGUCCAGGGAAAGGUGGAGGCUUCUACUGGACAACCUGACCUCAAGUGACCAGAAACUGAGUAUGAUGGGGGAGAGGUGGGUGCAGCAGUGGAGAGGAAGCUCUCAGGAGCUCUGGGGAGCUGGCCAGUGCUUCUCCUAACCGAGAGACACGUGGUUUUGGGGGAUUGAGCUCCUUUGAGUGAUGUGGUGCCCCCAAGGGAGAGUAAAAUCACUUAAAUAAGCAUUAAAUAAAAAUUAAAGGAGGCCAUUCUUGUGGGCUAAGCUCCUGCACUAGCCCCAACAGACCAGACUAAAAACUAAAAUGGAGUCAUUAAUUCUGAGGUUCUUCUUCACCAAACCAAAACUGAGUUAUCUGGUCUUCGGAGAAAUCAGGAGAGAGAGAUCAAAUCCAAAUUUCCCAAACAGGCCAGUUUCAAUGGCAUGCUAAUGAAGUUCCCCAUUGCCUUUAGUCCUUACAAAAAAAGAGUAACCUAAUGUUAACAAAUCAAUUAUUUCUCUAUUCUUCUGUUUUCCUGUUCCCACAUUAAAGUAACUUUGAAAUGACCAAUUCACAGUUUGCUUCCUGUUCCUGCUUUCUUCAGCCCCUCUCCGAAUAUAAAACUAAUCUCCUGUGCUACACUUAUUGGAACAUUUAUUAUGGAACAAAGUGUUGCCUGAUUCUGGAAUAUCAA
rnacentral:lncRNA from 1 species